AGUGGGGAAUCUUGCGCAAUGGGCGAAAGCCUGACGCAGCAACGCCGCGUGCGGGAUGAAGGCCUUCGGGCUGUAAACCGCUUUCAGCAGGAACGAAAAUGACGGUACCUGCAGAAGAAGGAGCGGCCAACUACGUGCCAGCAGCCGCGGUGACACGUAGGCUCCAAGCGUUGUCCGGAUUUAUUGGGCGUAAAGAGCUCGUAGGCGGUUGAGUAAGUCGGGUGUGAAAACUCUGGGCUUAACCCGGAGACGCCAUCCGAUACUGCUCUGACUAGAGUUCAGGAGGGGAGUGGGGAAUUCCUAGUGUAGCGGUGAAAUGCGCAGAUAUUAGGAGGAACACCGGUGGCGAAGGCGCCACUCUGGACUGAAACUGACGCUGAGGAGCGAAAGCAUGGGUAGCAAACAGGAUUAGAUACCCUGGUAGUCCAU
rnacentral:rRNA from 1 species